GCCUCUAUGGCACAGGGGUAAUGCGUGUCACUCGUAUAGCGAUUAAGCUUGCGGUGUUAAUGACAAGAUCCGCGGUUCGAUUCCGCGUGGAGGCA